CAUCCCUGGCAAAUUGCAACCGACUCGCAUUCACUCACUCACACAGCCGGUGGUGCUCUAGAAAGCAUUCUCCCGUAUCGCGCUCUUCCAUCGAAUACAGUCACGCAAGCACACACAGCCCUAAUAUAAUCUACUUGCACUGAAUACUAACUACGGUGUAUGGUCAGCCCCAAACACAAACCGCCGCCGCGCUGCCAACGAGGAAAAACUUUGCUCCGCUAGAAGCCAAAGCCAAGACGCCCGUUCAGUAGUAUUUCGGUUCCAUAUCCCGUCGCGUCGUGUGUCGUCCCGUUUCUCUGUUCGUUCACGACAUCGUCGUGGUCCUCUGUCCGCUGUCCCGCGUCUCACUGACUGUGUAGGUAUACCCACCUACCUAACUAGACCUAGACCGUUCGUUCGUUGAUGAACCGUGUGCGACACAGCCUGCGAGAAGCAACCAAGCAACCAACCGACGACGGUCUGGGGGUGGAAAAAAUAAGACUGGAUUUUCCUCUUCGUUUCUCCUGGCUGCUCCUCCGUGUGGCCGUGUCUUUCUGGGGGAUGGAGGUGACUAUACUUGAUCCUGCUGCUGCUGCUGCUGGGGUUUAGAUUUCCCUCCUGUGAUGAGUGGGGGUGAAACAGUAGUGAGAAGAAAGAUGAACGCAAGGGGGUUGAAUCCUUCUUCCGUGUGUUAGACGGUGCGGUGGUGGAGUCGUCGACGACUCGGCUGUAUCGUUCGUUAGUUGGUUAGUGUUUAGUGCAAGGAGAAAAAUUCAAACGACGACGCGACGGACGGCGUGAAAAUUUUCACAUUUUUCGGGGCGGUUUUUAUUUCUGGUGAAAAUAACCUGCUGUCUAUCUGGAAAGAAGAUUUGUGGAAGGCAGCGACGGCGGCAUCCCCCUCCGGGCGAGUGAAGAAAACAAGGAAACAUGCUGAGUUCGAAUUGCCUGCCAGGAUGAUCGAAGUGUGAACAGUGGAUAUCCUCAACGAAGAAGCAGAAGCACCAUAAAGAUGACGUUAGAGUCCUGAAUGUGCGCGAUGUGUGAUGAGGGAAAAAUGAGUGGCAAGUGUAGUGCAAAAAAUGCAAAAUAAAUGCAAACAAAGGACUAUUUACUCCGAGACGGGGCAGAGUGAGAGUGCAACAUGAAAACGAAUCACAGUGUCUACGAGCAACGGCAACGACGACGACGACAAGAACCAUCGUCCUAGUCUACGGUAUUGUUAACGACAGCAGCAGGCAGCAUCAGCUGGUUGCACACGAGUGAUGAUAGUCGCAGGGAUGCUGCAAAUUAACAACGCGAGGGAGGCCAUCAGCAGCAGUAGUGUCAGUGACAGGUGAUGGAGAUGAUGGUCGUUAGGACAGUUUGUAUGGAAAGUGCAAUUAAAUUUUAGUACUUUUGCUAAAUGUUCGUGAUUAAAUAACUGCGCUUUCGGCGAGGGCGAGGUUGUAUCCACGUAGCGUACUGAGAAACCGUUUGUGUGGAGUUCAAACGAAUGAUGAAGAGUUAGUGAAUUCUCAAAUUGGUUCGUGUAUGCGUUGCCUGUAGUAUUUAAUUCUAUAAGUAGCUAGUUGCUUAAGUAGUAAAUUAUUUCAAUUAACGAAUACUCGACAAAACUCAGAGCGUAGUCUGUGAUGGAUCAGUGAACGGAAGAAGCCUCCAGUGUAAUGAAAUAAUCGGUUAUUCCGGGAAGAGAAAAAUGCGAGUUUAACCAACUGAUAACAGUGAACCGCAGCUGUUGGAUUGCAAUCAAUCAUUUCCAAAAAGCCGUGAAACAGAAACACAAGGUCACGUGACAAAGUGAUAGAAGAAUAUCAUCGACCUGAAACGACCGCGGAGCCGAACUGUCGGAAACGGCCCGGGGUACCCGGCCGGCCGCGGGGUUGUGUGUGUGAGAUGAAAGUCAUCAAUCGUCUUCACUCACGGCUCCCUCCAACAUUUUUGACAACGAAGACGACGACGACGAAGCAGAGUGGGACGCCACCACCAAUAGAACAGUUAUUAUCCGAGAAUCGUCAUUGUCAUCAGGACGUAGAGUACGACGUCACCGGUAACGGUGUCCACAGCCGCCGCCGCCACCACAGCAGAAGACUACGAAAGAAGCGACGGGUUGGUUGGUUUUGGCGCCGGAGAAAUCCGCUGCAGGCAGCGGAACUCCUCGGUUGUAGACGACGAAGAACUGAUAGUCCGCGGAGCGUGACUACCGGUUCCAGCAGUUCCCGAUUUUAUUGUUUUCCUACCGUUAGUGCACCAACUGCUACCUGUUCCAAUGAUGGGAUACAUCAUGGGUUGUGCUUGUUUCAAAGGUAUGUCCGGAAUAAGUCUUAUUUUACGUCUAUCAUCAUCUUCCUAGCUGUACAUAGUCUUCACUAUCAACAAGUCUGGUAAGCUAGAAUGUUCAAGCUGUGUUCAAACCUUCUUUCGAAAUUGUUAUAUUUGAAUUUGAAAACCUCUUAU